rnacentral:rRNA from 1 species
AAGCAGCCAUCAUUUAAAGAAAGCGUAAUAGCUCACUGGUCGAGUCGGCCUGCGCGGAAGAUGUAACGGGGCUAAACCAUGCACCGAAGCUGCGGCAGCGAACGUAUCACUUAAAGCGAUUCAGCGGGUUACGAUUGACGGAGCGAAGCGACGUCAAAGCGUAUACAAAGUCGAGUCGGUUUAAGGAUACGUUCGUUGGGUAGGGGAGCGUUCUGUAAGCCUGUGAAGGUGGCCUGUGAGGGUUGCUGGAGGUAUCAGAAGUGCGAAUGCUGACAUAAGUAACGAUAAAGCGGGUGAAAAGCCCGCUCGCCGGAAGACCAAGGGUUCCUGUCCAACGUUAAUCGGGGCAGGGUGAGUCGACCCCUAAGGCGAGGCCGAAAGGCGUAGUCGAUGGGAAACGGGUUAAUAUUCCCGUACUUGGUGUUACUGCGAAGGGGGGACGGAGAAGGCUAUGUUGGCCGGGCGACGGUUGUCCCGGUUUAAGCGUGUAGGUGUGUGUUCCAGGUAAAUCCGGUUCACUUUAACACUGAGGCGUGACGACGAGGCACUACGGUGCUGAAGCAACAAAUGCCCUGCUUCCAGGAAAAGCCUCUAAGCAUCAGGUAACAUCAAAUCGUACCCCAAACCGACACAGGUG